rnacentral:rRNA from 1 species
UACGGGGGGGGGCAAGCGUUGCUCGGAAUUACUGGGCGUAAAGGGCUCGUAGGUGGCCAACUAAGUCAGACGUGAAAUCCCUCGGCUUAACCGGGGAACUGCGUCUGAUACUGGUUGGCUUGAAUCCGGGAGAGGGAUGUGGAAUUCCAGGUGUAGCGGUGAAAUGCGUAGAUAUCUGGAGGAACACCGGUGGCGAAGGCGACAUCCUGGACCGGUAUUGACGCUGAGGCGCGAAAGCCAGGGGAGCAAACGGG